rnacentral:lncRNA from 12 species
AUGUUGGAUUUUGCCAUCAUUUUAAUCACUUUACCAUCACUUGCAGGAGAGAAUGUGUCUUUAAAAGUGCCCUAUUUAGGGAAGGCGUCAGAGCCAAGACUAAGUGUACAUUCUCAUUAUUUCACAUGUUGUCAAAGUAACCAGCACAGUGCAAUGACAGCAUUUGAAGAAAAUAGGUUUGUGAAAGCUCUUUGUUCAGGUGAACUAAGAAAAGUGGCUUCAUUAAACAAUGAAAAGUGUUGUGGAUUCAAGACUCAUACCUAUCCUAUGAAGGAUUCAAUGAAAUAUUGGCCACAGUUCACCUAUGUGGGGAUUUGAGGUUUUGAUUACAGAACAUUGGUCAUCAAUUCUGGUGUCCAUCCAAAUGACCUAUGGACCUCUUUCAAAAAUCUCUGUGUCUGGCCCAUCCUCCUGAGAUGAACUUAAGAAAACUCUGCACACCAUCAGGUAACAAUUUUGUCUUUUUCAGAAAACAGAUGAGUUCAAUAAACUGUGACCAUUGUUUUUAACUAACUCA